rnacentral:rRNA from 1 species
AGUGGCGGACGGUUGAGUAACGCGUGAGAAUCUGCCUUGGGGUCGGGGACAACCACUGGAAACGGUGGCUAAUACCGGAUAAGCCGAUUGGUGAAAGAUUUAUUGCCCGAAGAGGAGCUCGCGUCUGAUUAGCUAGUUGGUGAGGUAAGAGCUCACCAAGGCAGCGAUCAGUAGCUGGUCUGAGAGGACGAUCAGCCACACUGGGACUGAGACACGGCCCAGACUCCUACGGGAGGCAGCAGUGGGGAAUUUUCCGCAAUGGGCGAAAGCCUGACGGAGCAAGACCGCGUGAGGGAGGAAGGCUCUUGGGUUGUAAACCUCUUUUCUCAGGGAAGAAGCUCUGACGGUACCUGAGGAAUCGGCCUCGGCUAACUCCGUGCCAGCAGCCGCGGUAAUACGGAGGAGGCAAGCGUUAUCCGGAAUUAUUGGGCGUAAAGCGUCCGCAGGUGGCGAUUCAAGUCUGCUGUCAAAGCACGGGGCUUAACUCCGUAAAGGCAGUGGAAACUGAAUAGCUAGAGUGCCGUAGGGGUAGAGGGAAUUCCCGGUGUAGCGGUGAAAUGCGUAGAGAUCGGGAAGAACAUCGGUGGCGAAAGCGCUCUACUGGACGGCAACUGACACUCAGGGACGAAAGCUAGGGGAGCGAAUGGGAUUAGAUACCCC